GCCUGGGUGGCUCAGUCGGUUAAGCGUCCGACUUCAGCUCGGGUCAUGAUCUCACGGUCCGUGAGUUCGAGCCUCGCGUCGGGCU
rnacentral:tRNA from 1 species